UACGGAGGGUGCGAGCGUUGUCCGGAAUCACUGGGCGUAAAGGGCGCGUAGGCGGCAUGCCAAGCGUGUGGUGAAAGCCCGGGGCUCAACCCCGGGUCGGCCGUGCGGACUGGCGUGCUCGAGCACUGUAGGGGCGGGUGGAAUUCCGGGUGUAGCGGUGGAAUGCGUAGAGAUCCGGAAGAACACCAACGGCGAAGGCAGCUCGCUGGGACGGUACUGACGCUGAGACGCGAAAGCGUGGGGAGCGAACAGG
rnacentral:rRNA from 1 species